GUGCUUCCAUUUGUUUUAUCAUUUUUGGAGCCUUGCUAGCCUUCCUGCUGAGGGUGGUUUGAAGACCAGAGGUUUGAGCAAGGAGAGCUGCAGAGGUAAGGCGCCAUAAGCCAUGAGACGCACCUGUUCCAGCAAAGAGAUGCGGGCACAGGUAGACCACCCCUCUUUGCCACCAUGGAUGCGAUGGAGGCUGACACCACCAAGAUUGUGGAAACCUGGAACCAAAGGAUCCCCUAAAUAAACUGGCAUCAGAUGGAAGGUGUAACUCGCUUCGGUGCACCAGGAAGAGGUCAAGGCUCCAAGCUGCCGUGAAACCACGUAAAAGUUACCAUCCUGAAUUGCUACAAAAAUUUUUGCACCACAGAGAUUCCGAUUUACAUUGUAUGUUAACAUACCUAAAAAUCCUCAAGUUUAUAUAUAACCCCUCUCCAAGUCAGGCUCACCUUUUAUAACAAUACCAAACUCUAUCAUAGAUUUUAUCUCCUUUGGAUUUCUACUUAUACCCCCCCACCCCUUUGAAGCUCCCCU
rnacentral:lncRNA from 1 species